rnacentral:rRNA from 1 species
CGGAGACAAUAGUUGGAAACGACUGCUAAGCCCCGAUAAACCGAAAGGGAAAAUAUUUAUAGCCUGAAGAUGGGGAUGCGUUCCAUUAGGCAGUUGGCGGGGUAACGGCCCACCAAACCGACGAUGGAUAGGGGUUCUGAGAGGAAGGUCCCCCACAUUGGAACUGAGACACGGUCCAAACUCCUACGGGAGGCAGCAGUGGUCGACGCGGCCG